rnacentral:rRNA from 1 species
AAUUGUACUCAGCUUCAUGUAAGAGAACCUGCUGAAUUUAAACAUAUUAAUAAGCAGUGGAAUUGAAACAAAAAUGGACAUUCUUAGUAAUGGCGAAUGAACUGAACGUUGGCUAAUUCAUAAAUCCAUAUUCUAUGGAUAAUAACUUGUAGUUUAGUUAGUUGUAUAACUCCUGAUUAUAACAAGCGUGAUCAAACAUGAGAUCUUAGAGGGUGAUUUUCCCGUAUUUUAACAAAUCAGGAGUUUUCUCAACUAUAUCUUGAGUAGCGCUCUUUGGUACUAGAGUUCUAAGUGUGUGGUGAUAUUCACAAAAGGCUUAUCACUGGUGGGAGACCUUUAGUUUACAAGUACCGUGAGGGAAAGAUGAAAAGAACUUUGGAGAGGGAGUUAAACAGUAUGCGAAAAUGUUGGUAGAAAGCGAAGCUAGUUAAUAACAUCGCUUUGACAAUUGGUAAUUAUCAUUGGAUUAUACUAUAAUUGUUAGAUAUUUAAUGAUCUUUUUACUGUUCAGAGUGGGGUGUAUAUGUCUUACAUUAACCUGAUCCGACCCGUCUGGAAACACGGACCAAGGAGUCUAGUAUGGGUGCGAGAUUUUGGAAGUACAGUUCCUAGAUUGUAUGUAACCUGAAUCGUGUUUGUCUCAAAUAUAACUGAUAAGUCGCGGAUAGUGUGUUUUCCCUAAUAAGAGCACUUGUGCUGGGACCCGAAAGAUGGUGAACUAUGCUUGUGCAGGGUUAAGUCAGGAGAAAUUCUGUUGGAGGCUCGAAACGAUACUGACGUGCAAAUCGUUCGUUGGAUAUGAGUAUAGGGGCGAAAGACUAAUCGAACUAUCUAGUAGCUGGUUCCCUCCGAAGUUUCCCUCAGGAUAGCUGGAGAUCUUGAUAAGUUACAUGAGGUAAAGCAAAUGAUUAGAGCUCAUGGGAUUGAAACAGUCUCGGUCUAUUCUUAAACUUUAAAUGGGUGUGAAGCGGUACUAUCUUAGUUGUAGUACCGCAUUGAAUGAGAUCUUUUAGUGGGCCACUUUUGGUAAGCAGAACUGGCGAUGUGGGAUGUUCCAGACGGAUAGUUAAGAAGCUAAAAUGUUCGCUUAUUCUGAUACCAUAAAGGGUGUUACUUGAUUUGGACAGCAGGACGAUGGUCAUGGAAGUUGAAACUCGCUAAGGAGUGUGUAACAACUCACCUGCCGAAUCAAUCAGCCCCGAAAAUGGAUGGCGCUCAAGCGAACUUUUGAAACUAAGCUACUGGCAUAACUGAUGUAGAUGGUAGUAAGUAGGUGGGUGAAGCGGUUGCAUUGAAGUUAUAAGUGUAAGCUUUAGUGGAGCAGCGGUUAGUGCAGAUCUUGGUGUUAGUAGCAAAUAUUCAUCCGAGAAUUCUGAAUGCUGAGGUGGAGUAAGGUUCCAUGUCAACAACAGUUGGACAUGGGUUAGCCGGUCCUAAGAUAAACUGUAAUUAUUUUAAAUGGUGGUUUAGACGUCUUUGUCCAAAGGGUGUCAGGUUAAUAUUCUUGAAUUACAUGUUGUGGUGUUGAUACGGUAACGUCAUGAGCCUCGGUUACUGCGGCUGAAGUUCCUAUAGGAGAUCUCUACUCUUAUUGAAAGUACUAAGAUCCUGGAAUAAGUUUGCCUUGAGAUUGGAUUAUAGCACGUUAAAAGCACUGUGUUUUUUGCAGUGUAUGGUACACUUUGGACGUUUCUUAAAAAGCUGUGUCUCUAUUAUUACGAUCACAUUUUAUCCGUAUUGAUUACCGCAUCAGGUCUCUAAGGUCAAAAGCCUCUGGUUAAUAGAAUAAAGUGGGUAAGGGAAGUCGGCAAAAUGGUUAUGUAAGUUUGCGAUAAAGAAUGGCUCAUUAGGUUGGGUUAUAGGGCUCAUGGAAGAAGCUAUCUGGUGUUAGAGACUACUGGUGUUGAUUCAGAGUUAUAAUCGGAAGGUCUGUAAAUUCAUAUGGGUGACAACAUGAGAGUGAUAUUUCUGUAUAGAAGUUGAAUUUCCGUUAACGAUUAACAACUAAUAGUGAACUGGUGCUAACCACAGGAACCCGACUGUUUAAUUAAAACAAAGCAUUGUGAAGUAUCUGACGAUUGUUGAUACAAUGUGAUUUCUGCCCAGUGCUCUGAAUGUCACAGUGAAGAAAUUCAAUCAAGCGCGGGUAAACGGCGGGAGUAACUAUGACUCUCUUAAGGUAGCCAAAUGCCUCGUCAUCUCACUAGUGACGCGCAUGAAUGGAUCAACGAGGUUCCUUCUGUCCCUAUCUACUAUCUAGCGAAACCACAGCCAAGGGAACGGGCUUGGAUGUAAUGGCGGGGAAAGAAAACCCUGUUGAGCUUGACUCUAUUUUGACAUUGUUAAGUGGUAUUGGCGGUGUAGAAUAGGGGGGAGAUAUAAAGCAACUUUGAAAUACCGCUACGUUGAUUACUGCUUCACUUAUGUAAUUCCAAUGGAAUAACUUAACCGAGUAUGUUUCUAGAUUAAUCUUCCUAAAGAAACUUGUUUAUAUAUUUUGUCCGAUAGGGAGUUUGGCUGGGGCGGCACAUCUGUUAAAAAAUAACACAGAUGACCUAAGAUCAAUUCAAUGUGAACAGAAAUCACAUUUGGAGUUUAAGUGUAGAAGCUGAUUUGACUUUGAUGUUCAGUAUGGGUCAAUGCACUGAAAUGUCUGGCUUAAUGAUCCUCUAGAUAUUCGUAUUUCAAAGCUAUAGGUGUCAAAAAAGUUACCACAGGGAUAACUGGCUUGUGGCGGCCAAGCGUUCAUAGCGACGUCGCUUUUUGAUUCUUCGAUGUCGGCUCUUCCUACCCCUAUCUUGCAUAAGGGAUAAACGGUUAGAUUGUUCACCUACUGAUAGGGAACGUGAGCUGGGUUUAGACCGUCGCGAGACAGGUUAGUUUUAUCCUACUAUUACAAAUCUUUCAUAAUUAUGGUACGCUAAUUUAGUACGAGAGGAACCGUAAGUGCUCAUUGAUAGUAUAUUAAUUUGAAUGACUUGUCAGUGUCUAGAAGCUGCUAUGGGAGGGCUAACAAUUGAACGCCUCUAAGUUGGAAACAUUGCGACAAAUUGUGAUUAUUAAGUAUAUCUUGUCUUGAUUUAUAGUUUGAACGUAUAUUCGUAUAUUAGUUAAAAUAAGAUGUAACUUAGUUGCGGUAAAAUUAGGUGCGUCUACUGUAGUAUAUUAAUGAUAUAUUGUAACAGUAGUAUUGUUUGGAUCAGAGUUGUCUUGAUCAACGAUUUUUUGAGAUUUGACUACCAAUUUUAAAAUAUUUACUAUUAC